rnacentral:rRNA from 2 species
CGAACUCUGGUAUUGAUUGGUGCUUGCAUCAUGAUUUACAUUUGAGUGAGUGGCGAACUGGUGAGUAACACGUGGGAAACCUGCCCAGAAGCGGGGGAUAACACCUGGAAACAGAUGCUAAUACCGCAUAACAACUUGGACCGCAUGGUCCGAGCUUGAAAGAUGGCUUCGGCUAUCACUUUUGGAUGGUCCCGCGGCGUAUUAGCUAGAUGGUGGGGUAACGGCUCACCAUGGCAAUGAUACGUAGCCGACCUGAGAGGGUAAUCGGCCACAUUGGGACUGAGACACGGCCCAAACUCCUACGGGAGGCAGCAGUAGGGAAUCUUCCACAAUGGACGAAAGUCUGAUGGAGCAACGCCGCGUGAGUGAAGAAGGGUUUCGGCUCGUAAAACUCUGUUGUUAAAGAAGAACAUAUCUGAGAGUAACUGUUCAGGUAUUGACGGUAUUUAACCAGAAAGCCACGGCUAACUACGUGCCAGCCGCCGC